ACUCCCGUUCGUCUGUCUAUUACAUUCCCAGUGAUUUAGGACUUGGAACGGAGAGCUAGUAGGUGGGGCUAGAAUCGGCACCUGCGGAAAAUCCGACCAAUGAGGAGCGAACGACACAGCGGCCAUCUUGGUAAAGGAAAAGGAACAAGGAAGAAAGUGGAACCAAUUAGCAAGCUAAGCUGGAGUUGGAAUUACCCAGUGAAGUUGUUCUUAAGAAGGCUACUGUAAAACCAGUAACAUGAAGGUGAAUCUGUGGUUUGGAGCUCCCCCUACAGUUUGUUUGAAGACUGGUCUCUCUCAUCUCCAAGAAAAAUGACCACUUUGGAAAAUGAGUUCUUACGCAUGCUUGGAAAUAUUUUUAAUGUGUAUAUAUUGUUUAAAUUUAUGUUUAAAUGUGUACAUGAGGAAUCCGUUUUAUGUUAGACAUAUUUUUUUCGUUUGUUACCUGCUUGCUAGCUGUGGACUGUAUAAUUUAUUUUCCAAUAAGUCAAAGUCUUUGUUUUAGGUCAGAGUGCCAUUUUCAAGGUUGCGAAUUUCAACAAGAGUUAAAUGACACGUGAAACUUUAUGGCUAUUUGAGAAUUGGACAUUUUGAAUGAGAGAUUUUAUCAUUUUAUAUUUUGUUUACGUAUUUCUUUUCAAAUAUAGGGCCUGAAUUAUGACCAAGCACUAUAACUUUUAAUGAGGGAUAAAGAAUUGCAUGCCACUAUGUGUGUACUCUGAAAAAUACUCAUUUAGUUAGUCAUUUGACAAAUACUGAUUAUCAUCUAUGUGCCCGACACUGUUUAAGGCAUUAGGCACAUAUCAAUGAACAAAGCAGACAAAAAUUUCCCUGCCCUUGGGGAUCUUGUAGUUUAGUGAUGGAUGGAGGAGUAGUGGAUUAUAAAAAUUAUCAUGAUAAAGAAGUCAAUUACAUAGUGUAUUAAAAGGUUCAAAGUACUGUGAAAGCAAUGGGCCCUGGCACAGGAAAUCAGAUUGAAGGAAGGGAGAAGCAGUGAGGCAACUGCAAUUCCAAAUAGUGUGGUCAAGGAAACUCCCAUUGAAAAGAUUUGAGAAAAGACUUGGAGGUAAGAAGAGCUUUCCAGGCAGGGAAUAGCAAGUACAGAGGCCUUCAAUCAGGAGCUUGCUGGUGCAUUCAAGGCACAGUAAAGGGGCUCAGCGUGCCUGGAGUGGAGUGAAGGGGAGUGUAGCUGUAAAUCAUAUAGGGCAAGAGUCAGCAAACCAGUGCAGCCUGUUUUUGUAAAUAAAGUUUUAUUGGAACAUGGCCAUGCUCAUUUGUUUAUGUAUUUUCUGUGGCUGCUUUCAUGCUACAACCAGAAAGUGGAGUUGUUGAGACGGAGAUGAUCUAUCCCACAAAGACUAACAUAUUUAACUGUCUGAGUCUUUAUAGAAAAUAUUUUCUGACCCCUGCUGUAGGUAAGAUUUCACAGGCCACUGUAACAAUGUUGACUUUGACUCUGAGAGAAAUGAGAAGCUAUGGGAAGGACUGAACAAAAGAGUGAUCUGAUUUGUGUUUUGUGAUUUGUGUUUUGAAAGGAUCAUUAUGGCUGCCAUGUUGACAAAUUUUAGGGAAAAGGCUGGGAACAGGAAAACCAAUUAGGACUGUGGUUCAAAAGGUGUACCAGCCAGGCACAGUGGCUCAUGCCUACAAUCCCAGUGCUUUGGGAGGCUGAGGUGGAAGGAUCUCUAGAGGCCAGAGUCUGAGAUUGCA
rnacentral:lncRNA from 1 species